CACGCAGGUAGUGAUGUGUAGGUCUCAGCGCAGCUACCUGGAGGCGCACAUCAACCUGCGGGG
rnacentral:pre_miRNA from 1 species